UCGGAGUUCGUAUGAAUUAGUUAUGAUUUUUUGAAAAAGUUUCCAAUUUAGUAUAAAGCUUCCAUUUUUGGAAAUUUCCAAAAAUAAAAACAGAUUUUUCCAAAAUUGGAAAAUCUGCUGCGAUUUUAGUUCCCCGCCGGAAAUCGCCUCCAAAACUUCGAUCGACGAUUUCUUCCUCCUCCGGCCACCGAUCCUCACCAAACUUCUUCCAUUGGCUUCGUAUGGUCCUUGCGCACCUGUCUGUGGCAGCCUUUCACGGCGGCGCGGCCUGUAGCGGCGGCGGCAAGCCCGGUCCGAUUUAAGCUCGAUUUUGGUCAACGCCGGUUUUCUCCUAGCUCCGGCCACCAAAACUUCCGAUCCUUGGCUCCAUGAACUCCCCUCAACCUGCUGAUCAUCAUACUAGGAGGAUUGCACCUAGAGUGACCGGUUUCACGUUCGUCGGAGCUCGUGGGUUCCCCUUGAUGUUAUUAACAACUCUCUAGAAGGCAUCGAGGCCUGAAAUUGAAGCUUUGACGUCGAAAUCGAGCCUUGCCGGAUUCUGCAAAAUUCUGGAAUUUUUCCGACCACCGAAGCUUUCGAUCGGUAUAUCUCGAGCUACAGACCAUAUUUUUCUGUGAUUCUUGAACCAGUGAGUUCUUCUUGAGUUUCUUAACAACUCUUCAGAAGGAAUCGAAGCCUUAAAUUGACGUUUUUACGUCGAAUUGGAGCUCGCCGUUUUCUGCAGUUUCUCGCCGGUUUCUGGAAAAUUCCGGCCACCUUCAUACUGUUCAAGUGGCUUUGUGUGGUCAUGGGCGAAGAUCCGACCGUUGGAUCUUCGUAUAAUUGAGAAAUGGUGAUUCGGAAGGCGAUUCGUGAGAAUCCGACCGUCAGAUUUUCAUAUAAUUUUGUGGAGAUGUUUGUAAGGAUGAUUCGAGAAGAUCUGACCGUUGGAUCUUCAUUAUAAUUUUGGAGGAUGAUCCUAAGGGCGAUCCGUGAGGAUCUGACCGUUGGAUCAUCAUUAAAUUAAGAUUCGACCGUCGGAUCAUCAUAUAAUUAGAAUCCGACCGUUGGAUUUCAGUAUAUGUGUGGUUUAUGAGUAAUUUACUAAGUCAAGAUAGUAUCUGAUUAGGUGAUUGACGAAUCGAGUUGGUGGACGAUUCAGAUGGAUAUGUGGCUUUUAGAAGACGCAGCUGGAAUUGGAGCGGGUAAUCCUACAGGACAGGAGAACCAGGACGGUGAUCGUGCGGUUAAAGCAAUUGUUAGAGUUUUACAGCAAUUGUAAGUUGCGAGGUGUGUUAUGCUCAUUUGAGCUU